rnacentral:rRNA from 1 species
AUUGAACGCUGGCGGCAGGCCUAACACAUGCAAGUCGAGCGGAUGAAGGGAGCUUGCUCCUGGAUGCAGCGGCGGACGGGUGAGUAACGCCUAGGAAUCUGCCUGGUAGUGGGGGAUAACGUCCGGAAACGGGCGCUAAUACCGCAUACGUCCUGAGGGAGAAAGUGGGGGAUCUUCGGACCUCAGGCUAUCAGAGGAGUCUAGGUCGGAUUAGCUAGUUGGUGGGGUAAAGGCCUACCAAGGCGACGAUCCGUAACUGGUCUGAGAGGAUGAUCAGUCACACUGGAACUGAGACACGGUCCAGACUCCUGCGGGAGGCAGCAGUGGGGAAUAUUGGACAAUGGGCGAGAGCCUGAUCCAGCCAUGCCGCGUGUAUGAAGAAGGUCUUCGGAUUGUAAAGCACUUUAAGUUGGGAGGAAGGGCAGUAAGUUCAUACGUUGAUGUUUUGACGUUACCAACAGAAUAAGCACCGGCUAACUUCGUG